AUGGGAAAUACUGGAUUGUGUGGCGCCCCACAUCUUGGAUUUUCGCCAUGCCUUGGCCAUUCUCACCCAACCAACAAACACUUGCUAAGAUUUGUGCUCCCAACUGUCAUAAUAGCAGUCGGAGUUAUAGCAAUUUUCUUAUGCCUAAUGUUCAGAAAGAAAAAUAAGCAUCAACUGACUGUUCUGACUUCUAUUACCAUGCCUGAUCCGAUCAGCCAUAGGCUAGUAUCCUACCAUGAGAUUGCCCGUGCCACUGAAAAUUUCAACGUGGACAACCUACUUGGAGUUGGAAGUUUUGGCAAAGUUUUCAAGGGCAAACUGGACGAUGGUUUGGUGGUCGCGAUAAAAGUGCUCAACAUGCAAUUCGAGCAGGCUGUGAGGAGCUUUGAUGCUGAAUGUCAAGUGUUGCGGAUGGCUCGGCAUCGCAACUUGAUACAGAUACUGAAUACCUGUUCCAACUUGGAUUUCAGAGCUCUGCUGCUCCAGUACAUGCCCAAUGGUAGCUUGGAGACACACUUGCACUAUGGAAAUAGUGAACCACUAGGAUUCAUCAAGAGACUGGACAUUAUGCUUGGCGUGUCGGAGGCAAUGGAGUAUCUACAUCAUCAUCACGGUCAAGUUGUCCUACACUGUGACCUGAAGCCUAGCAAUGUGUUAUUUGAUGAGGACAUGACGGUGCAUGUCGCUGACUUUGGCAUUGCGAAGUUACUUCUUGGCGAUGACAACUCCAUGAUCUCAGCGAGUAUGCCAGGGACAAUUGGUUAUAUGGCCCCAGAGCUUGCAUACAUGGGGAAGGCAUCACGGAAGAGCGACGUGUUCAGCUUCGGGAUCAUGCUGCUCGAAGUCUUCACCGGGAAGAGGCCCACGGACCCCAUAUUCGUUGGCGAUUCUAGCCUCAGACAAUGGGUUUCCCGAGCAUUUCCAGCAAGACUUGUCGACGUUGUUGACAAUAAGCUGCUGCAGCUUGAAGAGAUAAGCAGUCAUGGCUUUCAUCACCAGACUAAUGCUCCGCCAUUGGAAUUGCCUUCCACUGCCUCCAACACUAGCUUUCUCGUGUCGACAUUCAAGCUAGGUCUAGAGUGCUCGACCGACUCUCCGGACCAGAGGGUGAGCAUGAGCGACGUGGUCGGAAGGCUGAAGAACAUCAAGAAGGAUUGCUCUGCUUCUAUUGCAGCGAAUCAAGGGGCUCCGCGGUAUUAG
rnacentral:rRNA from 1 species